rnacentral:rRNA from 1 species
AGCGCAUACGGUGGAUGCCUUGGCAGUCAGAGGCGAUGAAAGACGUGGUAGCCUGCGAAAAGCUUCGGGGAGUCGGCAAACAGACUGUGAUCCGGAGAUGUCUGAAUGGGGGAACCCAGCCAUCAUAAGAUGGUUAUCUUGUACUGAAUACAUAGGUGCAAGAGGCGAACCAGGGGAACUGAAACAUCUAAGUACCCUGAGGAAAAGAAAUCAACCGAGAUUCCCUUAGUAGUGGCGAGCGAACGGGGACCAGCCCUUAAGUUGUAUUGAGAUUAGCGGAACGUUCUGGAAAGGACGGCCAUAGUGGGUGAUAGCCCUGUACGCGAAAAUCCUUUUGCAAUGAAAUCGAGUAGGACGUGGCACGAGAAACCUUGUCUGAAUAUGGGGGGACCAUCCUCCAAGGCUAAAUACUACUGACUGACCGAUAGUGAACCAGUACCGUGAGGGAAAGGCGAAAAGAACCGCGGAGAGCGGAGUGAAAUAGAUCCUGAAACCGUAUGCGUACAAGCAGUGGGAGCCCACUUGUUGGGUGACUGCGUACCUUUUGUAUAAUGGGUCAGCGACUUAUUUUCAGUGGCGAGCUUAACCGAAUAGGGGAGGCGUAGCGAAAGCGAGUCUUAAUAGGGCGUCUAGUCGCUGGGAAUAGACCCGAAACCGGGCGAUCUAUCCAUGGGCAGGUUGAAGGUUGGGUAACACUAACUGGAGGACCGAACCGACUACCGUUGAAAAGUUAGCGGAUGACCUGUGGAUCGGAGUGAAAGGCUAAUCAAGCUCGGAGAUAGCUGGUUCUCCUCGAAAGCUAUUUAGGUAGCGCCUCAUGUAUCACUGUAGGGGGUAGAGCACUGUUUCGGCUAGGGGGUCAUCCCGACUUACCAAACCGAUGCAAACUCCGAAUACCUACAAGUGCCGAGCAUGGGAGACACACGGCGGGUGCUAACGUCCGUCGUGAAAAGGGAAACAACCCAGACCGUCAGCUAAGGUCCCAAAGUCAUGGUUAAGUGGGAAACGAUGUGGGAAGGCUUAGACAGCUAGGAGGUUGGCUUAGAAGCAGCCACCCUUUAAAGAAAGCGUAAUAGCUCACUAGUCGAGUCGGCCUGCGCGGAAGAUGUAACGGGGCUCAAACCAUGCACCGAAGCUACGGGUAUCAUCUUUUGAUGAUGCGGUAGAGGAGCGUUCUGUAAGCCUGUGAAGGUGAGUUGAGAAGCUUGCUGGAGGUAUCAGAAGUGCGAAUGCUGACAUGAGUAACGACAAUGGGUGUGAAAAACACCCACGCCGAAAGACCAAGGUUUCCUGCGCAACGUUAAUCGACGCAGGGUUAGUCGGUCCCUAAGGCGAGGCUGAAAAGCGUAGUCGAUGGAAAACAGGUUAAUAUUCCUGUACUUCUGGUUAUUGCGAUGGAGGGACGGAGAAGGCUAGGCCAGCCUGGCGUUGGUUGUCCAGGUUUAAGGUGGUAGGCUGAGAUCUUAGGUAAAUCCGGGAUCUUAAGGCCGAGAGCUGAUGACGAGUGUUCUUUUAGAACACGAAGUGGUUGAUGCCAUGCUUCCAAGAAAAGCUUCUAAGCUUCAGGUAACCAGGAACCGUACCCCAAACCGACACAGGUGGUUGGGUAGAGAAUACCAAGGCGCUUGAGAGAACUCGGGUGAAGGAACUAGGCAAAAUGGCACCGUAACUUCGGGAGAAGGUGCGCCGGUGGAGGUGAAGCAUUUACUGCGUAAGCCCCUGCCGGUCGAAGAUACCAGGCCGCUGCGACUGUUUAUUAAAAACACAGCACUCUGCAAACACGAAAGUGGACGUAUAGGGUGUGACGCCUGCCCGGUGCCGGAAGGUUAAUUGAUGGGGUUAGCGCAAGCGAAGCUCUUGAUCGAAGCCCCGGUAAACGGCGGCCGUAACUAUAACGGUCCUAAGGUAGCGAAAUUCCUUGUCGGGUAAGUUCCGACCUGCACGAAUGGCGUAACGAUGGCGGCGCUGUCUCCACCCGAGACUCAGUGAAAUUGAAAUCGCUGUGAAGAUGCAGUGUAUCCGCGGCUAGACGGAAAGACCCCGUGAACCUUUACUAUAGCUUUGCACUGGACUUUGAAUUUGCUUGUGUAGGAUAGGUGGGAGGCUUUGAAGCGUGGACGCCAGUCUGCGUGGAGCCAACCUUGAAAUACCACCCUGGCAACUUUGAGGUUCUAACUCAGGUCCGUUAUCCGGAUCGAGGACAGUGUAUGGUGGGUAGUUUGACUGGGGCGGUCUCCUCCUAAAGAGUAACGGAGGAGUACGAAGGUGCGCUCAGACCGGUCGGAAAUCGGUCGUAGAGUAUAAAGGCAAAAGCGCGCUUGACUGCGAGACAGACACGUCGAGCAGGUACGAAAGUAGGUCUUAGUGAUCCGGUGGUUCUGUAUGGAAGGGCCAUCGCUCAACGGAUAAAAGGUACUCCGGGGAUAACAGGCUGAUACCGCCCAAGAGUUCAUAUCGACGGCGGUGUUUGGCACCUCGAUGUCGGCUCAUCACAUCCUGGGGCUGAAGCCGGUCCCAAGGGUAUGGCUGUUCGCCAUUUAAAGUGGUACGCGAGCUGGGUUUAGAACGUCGUGAGACAGUUCGGUCCCUAUCUGCCGUGGACGUUUGAGAUUUGAGAGGGGCUGCUCCUAGUACGAGAGGACCGGAGUGGACGAACCUCUGGUGUUCCGGUUGUCACGCCAGUGGCAUUGCCGGGUAGCUAUGUUCGGAAAAGAUAACCGCUGAAAGCAUCUAAGCGGGAAACUUGCCUCAAGAUGAGAUCUCACUGGAACCUUGA